AUUGAACGCUGGCGGCAGGCCUAACACAUGCAAGUCGAGCGGAUGAAGGGAGCUUGCUCCUGGAUUCAGCGGCGGACGGGUGAGUAAUGCCUAGGAAUCUGCCUGGUAGUGGGGGAUAACGUCCGGAAACGGGCGCUAAUACCGCAUACGUCCUGAGGGAGAAAGUGGGGGAUCUUCGGACCUCACGCUAUCAGAUGAGCCUAGGUCGGAUUAGCUAGUUGGUGGGGUAAAGGCCUACCAAGGCGACGAUCCGUAACUGGUCUGAGAGGAUGAUCAGUCACACUGGAACUGAGACACGGUCCAGACUCCUACGGGAGGCAGCAGUGGGGAAUAUUGGACAAUGGGCGAAAGCCUGAUCCAGCCAUGCCGCGUGUGUGAAGAAGGUCUUCGGAUUGUAAAGCACUUUAAGUUGGGAGGAAGGGCAGUAAGUUAAUACCCUGCUGUUUUGACGUUACCAACAGAAUAAGCACCGGCUAACCUCGUG
rnacentral:rRNA from 1 species